rnacentral:rRNA from 1 species
GUACAUAAUUAUAAGUGAUAAAAAAGAAUGAAAUAAAAAUUCGAGUUGUAUCUCAGAAUCUAAGCAGUAUCGGGCCUGGUUAGUACUUGGAUGGGAGACCAUCUAGGAAUACCAGGUGCUGUAGGCA